AGUGGCGGACGGGUGAGUAACGCGUGGGUAACCUGCCUCAUACAGGGGAUAACAGUUAGAAAUGACUGCUAAUACCGCAUAAGACCACAGCACCGCAUGGUGCAGGGGUAAAAACUCCGGUGGUAUGAGAUGGACCCGCGUCUGAUUAGGUAGUUGGUGGGGUAACGGCCUACCAAGCCGACGAUCAGUAGCCGACCUGAGAGGGUGACCGGCCACAUUGGGACUGAGACACGGUCCAA
rnacentral:rRNA from 1 species